UACAGAGACUGCAAGCGUUAUUCGGAUUCAUUGGGCGUAAAGGGUGCGUAGGCGGCGCGGUAAGUCGGGGUGUGAAAUCUCGGAGCUUAACUCCGAAACUGCAUUCGAUACUGCCGUGCUUGAGGACUGGAGAGGAGACUGGAAUUUACGGUGUAGCGGUGAAAUGCGUAGAUAUCGUAAGGAAGACCAGUGGCGAAGGCGGGUCUCUGGACAGUUCCUGACGCUGAGGCACGAAGGCCAGGGGAGCAAACGGG
rnacentral:rRNA from 1 species